rnacentral:rRNA from 1 species
AGAGUUUGAUCCUGGCUCAGAUUGAACGCUGGCGGCAGGCCUAACACAUGCAAGUCGAACGGUAACAGGAAACAGCUUGCUGUUUCGCUGACGAGUGGCGGACGGGUGAGUAAUGUCUGGGAAACUGCCUGAUGGAGGGGGAUAACUACUGGAAACGGUAGCUAAUACCGCAUAACGUCGCAAGACCAAAGAGGGGGACCUUCGGGCCUCUUGCCAUCGGAUGUGCCCAGAUGGGAUUAGCUAGUAGGUGGGGUAACGGCUCACCUAGGCGACGAUCCCUAGCUGGUCUGAGAGGAUGACCAGCCACACUGGAACUGAGACACGGUCCAGACUCCUACGGGAGGCAGCAGUGGGGAAUAUUGCACAAUGGGCGCAAGCCUGAUGCAGCCAUGCCGCGUGUAUGAAGAAGGCCUUCGGGUUGUAAAGUA